CAAGCAUCUUUACCUGCUGAGCCAUUCCACCAGUCCCUAGAUCCUUUAUUAUUCAUAAUCUGUAUAAUUUUGGUCAGGUUACUUCAGAAGUCCUGUUUUUCAUCUGUCAGAUAAUAACAUAACCCAUUUCAUAGUGGGUUGAAGAGGUAAUAUGUAUAUGAACAGUGGAUAAACUAGGGUCCUUAUACAAGUGUUAGUUCAUAGAGUGGGCUUUUCAGUGUCUUUUCAUUGCUUACAUAUUUUUAAAAAUAUUAUUUCCCUCUUUUCUUUUAUUAGAAUGAAGUCCAAACUGCCAAGGAGUUUAUUAAAAUCAUAGAGAGUGCAGAAAAUGAGUAUCAGACAGCAAUUAGUGAAAAUUAUCAAACUAUGUCAGACACCACGUUCAAGGCCUUGCGCCGGCAGCUUCCAGUUACCCGCACCAAAAUCGACUGGAACAAGAUACUCAGUUACAAGAUUGGCAAAGAAAUGCAGAAUGCUUAAAGGCCGUCUGUAGGAGUCUCCAGUACAUGGAAAGAAAAGGAUUCAACACAGUGUGGUCAUAUGAUAAAUAAGUGAUUUAUAAACAAACAAGAGUGAUAUUUUGCUAGUUAACAAAGUUAACAGAUCUUCUAGCCUCAUGGAAUACUGUUGAACCUAGAGCACUGUCUUGAUUCUUUUGUGUGUGUGUUCUCUGCUUUGUAAUAUUCUGUUAUCACUUUAUCUACUUGUAAAUCUUUUUUUCCAUUUUGCUACAUUUAAUGUCGAAGAGAUAUAUCCUGAAGUCGUUUUACUGUUUAGAAAAUGUCCUAGCCAUGAAGCCCCAUUACUGGCUUUUGCAGUCUGUUAAGUACCUUACCCCUAUGCUUUAAAGCACUUCCAGUACUUCCGUGGCUUUUAGUG
rnacentral:lncRNA from 1 species